AUUGAACGCUGGCGGCAUGCCUUACACAUGCAAGUCGAACGGCAGCGCGGGGCAACUUGGCGGCGAGUGGCGAACGGGUGAGUAAAAUAUCGGAACAUACCCUAGAGUGGGGAUAACGUAGCGAAAGUUACGCUAAUACCGCAUACGCACUAAGGUGGAAAGUGGGGGAUCUUCGGACCUCAUGCUCAUGGAGUGGCCGAUAUCUGAUUAGCUAGUUGGUGAGGUAAAGGCUCACCAAGGCGACGAUCAGUAGCUGGUUUGAGAGAACGACCAGCCACACUGGAACUGAGACACGGUCCAGACUCCUACGGGAGGCAGCAGUGGGGAAUAUUGGACAAUGGGCGCAAGCCUGAUCCAGCAAUGCCGCGUGGGUGAUGAAGGCC
rnacentral:rRNA from 1 species